AGUCGAACGAGUUUCCGGGCUUGCUCGGAAAUUAGUGGCGAACGGCUGAGUAACGCGUAGGUGACCUACCCCGUAGUGUGGAAUAACUGCCCGAAAGGGUAGCUAAUACCGCAUGUUGAGCCGACAUCAAUGUCGUCUCCAAAGCAGAAAUGCGCUAUGGGCGGGGCCUGCGUUCGAUUAGCUAGUUGGUGGGGUAAUGGCUCACCAAGGCGACGGUCGAUAGGUGGUCUGAGAGGACGAUCACCCAGACUGUGACUGAGACACGGCCCAGACUCCUACGGGAGGCAGCAGUCGGGAAUUUUGCGCAAUGGGGGAAACCCUGACGCAGCAAUACCGCGUGUGGGAUGAAGGCCUUCGGGUCGUAAACCACUUUUUUCGGGGACGAUAAUGACGGUACCCGAAGAAUAAGCCACGGCUAACUACGUGCCAGCAGCCGCGGUAAUACGUAGGUGGCAAGCGUUGUCCGGAUUUACUGGGCGUAAAGCGCGCGCAGGCGGUGAAUGAAGUCGAAAGUGAAAGCCCCGAGCUCAACUCGGGAACUGCUUUCGAAACCAGUUCACUUGAAGGUGGAAGAGGGAAGUGGAAUUCCGAGUGUAGCGGUGGAAUGCGUAGAUAUUCGGAGGAACACCAGAGGCGAAGGCGACUUCCCGGCCCAAUCUUGACGCUGAGGCGCGAAAGCUAGGGGAGCAAACAGGAUUAGAUAUCCUGGUAGUCCUAGCUGUAAACGAUGGAUACUAGGUGUUGGAGGUUUUAACCCCUUCGGCGCCGCAGCUAACGCAUUAAGUAUCCCGCCUGGGGAGUACGGCCGCAAGGCUAAAACUCAAGNAAUUGACGGGGCCCCGCACAAGCAGCGGANCGUGGGGUUUAAUUCGAUGAUACGCGAAGAACCUUACCANGGCUNGACNUGCACAUGACCGCGGCNGGANCGUCGCUU
rnacentral:rRNA from 1 species